UGAUGUCACGCUUGGCAUGUUUUUGGGCAUUGUCUGUGCCUCACGAGAGCUUCUCGAGUCUAUCCGUGUUGAGUCUGGAUUCUGCUGCUGCAAGUUGAUGGCACACUUUAAAUGCCCAAAAUUGUCCGAGGUGAAGCAAAAUGCUAAGCAGAGAUACAUCUCGAUCCUAUCAGGAGAGGAAUGAAAUGGCAGAAGAGGUUGGAUGUGUUGGAUAAAUACAGUGGCAUAUCCAGGACAUUUUUACUGGGGUGGCCAAGAUGGGGCACAGACCUAGUGUGGGGUGGCGAUACCGGGAGAACCUUUAUAAAUGGCACAUGAUCAAAAUGUGUAAAUAUUGCAUUGCUUUGCUUCAGCAUCGUACACAUGUAGAAUAAAUGAAUUCUUAAACUCA